rnacentral:tRNA from 2 species
GGAGGCUUGCCCGAGCGGCCUAAGGGAACAGUCUUGAAAACUGUCGUGGCGGCAACGCCACCGUGGGUUCAAAUCCCACAGCCUCCGCCA